GGCGAACGGGUGAGUAACACGUGGGUAACCUGCCCAUCAGAGGGGGAUAACACUUGGAAACAGGUGCUAAUACCGCAUAAUGCUUUUUCUCGCAUGAGAGAAAGCUGAAAGGCGCUUUUGCGUCACUGAUGGAUGGACCCGCGGUGCAUUAGCUAGUUGGUGAGGUAACGGCUCACCAAGGCAACGAUGCAUAGCCGACCUGAGAGGGUGAUCGGCCACACUGGGACUGAGACACGGCCCAGACUCCUACGGGAGGCAGCAGUAGGGAAUCUUCGGCAAUGGACGAAAGUCUGACCGAGCAACGCCGCGUGAGUGAAGAAGGUUUUCGGAUCGUAAAACUCUGUUGUUAGAGAAGAACAAGGAUGAGAAGAGAAUGUUCAUCCCUUGACGGUAUCUAACCAGAAAGCCACGGCUAACUACGUGCCAGCAGCCGCGGUAAUACGUAGGUGGCAAGCGUUGUCCGGAUUUAUUGGGCGUAAAGCGAGCGCAGGCGGUUUCUUAAGUCUGAUGUGAAAGCCCCCGGCUUAACCGGGGAGGGUCAUUGGAAACUGGGAGACUUGAGUGCAGAAGAGGAGAGUGGAAUUCCAUGUGUAGCGGUGAAAUGCGUAGAUAUAUGGAGGAACACCAGUGGCGAAGGCGGCUCUCUGGUCUGUAACUGACGCUGAGGCUCGAAAGCGUGGGGAGCGAACAGGAUUAGAUACCCUGGUAGUCCACGCCGUAAACGAUGAGUGCUAAGUGUUGGAGGGUUUCCGCCCUUCAGUGCUGCAGCAAACGCAUUAAGCACUCCGCCUGGGGAGUACGACCGCAAGGUUGAAACUCAAAGGAAUUGACGGGGGCCCGCACAAGCGGUGGAGCAUGUGGUUUAAUUCGAAGCAACGCGAAGAACCUUACCAGGUCUUGACAUCCUUUGACCACUCUAGAGAUAGAGCUUUCCCUUCGGGGACAAAGUGACAGGUGGUGCAUGGUUGUCGUCAGCUCGUGUCGUGAGAUGUUGGGUUAAGUCCCGCAACGAGCGCAACCCUUAUUGUUAGUUGCCAUCAUUUAGUUGGGCACUCUAGCGAGACUGCCGGUGACAAACCGGAGGAAGGUGGGGAUGACGUCAAAUCAUCAUGCCCCUUAUGACCUGGGCUACACACGUGCUACAAUGGGAAGUACAACGAGUUGCGAAGUCGCGAGGCUAAGCUAAUCUCUUAAAACUUCUCUCAGUUCGGAUUGUAGGCUGCAACUCGCCUACAUGAAGCCGGAA
rnacentral:rRNA from 1 species